UAGUUUUGGCAGCUCCUUCAUGGAGGGUGUCGGUGGAGAGGCUACCUCUAAUGGUGGUGCUACUGAGGGUCCUUCAUCAGGGCGAGAGCGCUACCUUGUUAUCACCGAGCCCUUGGGUUUUCAAACCCGCUACGUGGUGAAGUCCUUCAAUCGUUAUGUGCGAGGAAAAAAGAUCUAUUCCCAAACCACCUACAUCCCUCUAGAUUAUCAGCCUGCUCCUGAGCCUGCUCCUGUCCCCACUCUUCCUCUGCAAGAAGCCCAGGUGGUCCAAACUGUGAAGGCCACCCCUGCAAGAAAAGGAUAGGCUUGCCCAGUUGACCUUCUGUGGCUUUGGACUUCAAUCCACAUUGUGUAUCUGGGCCCUUGUUGCAUCGUGGCUUAAAAAUAAACUGAAACGUACAAAAUC